GAGGCCAAGAGUCUGAAGCCGGCAGGGGUGGUGGUGGUGGUGGUGGUGAUUGCCUUAUGGCAGUAGACGGCGGAUCUGAGAGCGAGGUGUCCAUUGUGUUGCCCAGUGAUGGUGUUUGUUCUUUUUGUUAGUUAUUGAUCGUGACUGCAUCAUCGUCAAGGGUGCGUAAGGUGGAAGGAGCCUCGGAAGUGACCGUGGCCAGGAGGAAACAACAAAAGCCACCAAGAGGCAGCCGUGCGUGGCGCUCCUGUUGCUGCUGCUGGCGAUGUUGUGGCCGCGUCAGUGGAAAAAAGGCUCUGCUCCUGCCUGCAUUGUCGCUCCCUCCUGCUCCUGCUCUUCUGCCUGUCCCUGUGUGACGGCCGCCCCUCAGGGAGUCUUGCCGGGGAACACUAAGUGGGUUAACACCGCCGAGUGAGAGGCGCUCCUUGUCGCCACCACCGUCAAAUGGGAGUGACAUGUGUUCCCCUGAGGUGCGCGGGUCCAAGGCGGAGGAGGAGGAGGCAAGCUUACAAGGAGGAAUUGCUGGGAAGGGGUUAAGGAAAAGGAGGAGGAACGGUGCAGGAUGGAAUUUGGCGCCGUCGGGUUGGCUUCGGAUCAGGAAAAAUCGUGGCAAGGCAAGAAAAGGAAGCCGCAGCAGUGUCGCCUGUGUCGCGGCGCCACGGAGGACUUGUAGAGAUUCUUGCUGCCGUGGUUGCUGGGCUGUUUUAGGUUCUUUUUAUGUAUAAGGAAGAUCUAGAAGAGCAGAGCAGUGAAUAAUAAAAAAAAAAAAAAAACGCUUAAAUGCCUUUCUCAAAAACGAAAGUAGGAGUAGAACCGAGAGAGAGAAGCUGAUUUAUUUUCCGAGGCGUCCUGAUGUUGAUGAUCUACCCGUGUAAGAUGAAAACAGGAAUAAGCUUAAG